AUUGAACGCUGGCGGCAGGCCUAACACAUGCAAGUCGAACGAGUGGCGGACGGGUGAGUAAUGUCUGGGAAACUGCCUGAUGGAGGGGGAUAACUCCUGGAAACGGUAGCUAAUACCGCAUACCCUCAGAUAUGCCCACAUGGGAUGAGCUAGUAGGUGUGGUAACGGCGCACCUAGGCGACGAUCCCUAGCUGUUCUGAGAGGAUGACCAGCCACACUGGAAAUGAAACACGGUCCAGACUCCUACGGGAGGGAGCAGGGGGGAAUAUUGGACAAUGGGCGCAAGCCUGAUGCAGCCAUGCGGCGUGGAUGAAGAAGGCCUUCGGGUUGUAAAGUACUGUCAGCGGGGAGGCGUUACCCGCAGAAGAAGCACCGGCUAACUCCGUGCCAGCAGCCGCGGUAAUUC
rnacentral:rRNA from 1 species